UCCUCAAUUUGAUUCGAAUUGAAACCCAAACUAAAUUCUUCAAAGCAAAGCACCGCCACUUCAUCGUUCAUCCACCUUCAGUCGGCGGUGGUGUUCACCGCAAUCACCAAUAGCUCCGGUGACAUCUCACGACCUUAACCCUAACCGUUUUUUACCCAUAUCGGACGCUGAUCAUCAAGAAUCGUAAGAAAUGGUUCAAAGUCCUUAACAUCGAUUGCAACCAUCGUUCGUUGGUGAGUGACACCAACUUCACCGAAUAAAGUGUUGUUCCCAUCAGUCACUCGCUGUGACUCGCCGUCGAACGUUGUGGAGAGCACCGCAAAAGCUUCGUCGAAAAACUUAGAACCUUAACGUUGUUUUUACGAUUUUGGCCAAAUCUGUCAUCCAUCUACUUCACAUCCUGUGUCAUUGGAUUUACCGGAGAGUUCCAGAAUAACCCAACUGGGUUCAUCGCUCUAUCGUCCUGUCUUCGUCGUCCGCCACUAGGAUUGGUGACAAAUUAAACGGGGAGUAAUCGGUCGUUCGAAUCGACCCUAUCACUGUUGUCACGUAUCACCGUCACGUAUAGGGUUUCUCGAUAAGCAAGGAAUUUUCUAGAAUCGGUCCAGUUGGAUAGUAUCAGACUGAACCGACCUAUUUAGGCCGGAUCGGUUUGAGCAUGAAUCAGCCCACUGAGUCAACUCGCACUGAGUCAACUCAACAAAUAUGACCCGUUGGCUUUGACUGUUUGUUGACCUGACCAGGAUUGACUUUGAUCAAAAAGUUAAUUUUUUAAAUGCCUAUUCUAUGUUUUUCGACGUCCUAAGUUCGAAUCUAAAGUUCGUUUCGCCAAUUUCAAACCAUGAUGUAGAAAUCAAGUGUGAGGGUGAUCAAAUAGAGAUUAAUUGGUUGAUCGAUGUGACACGACAAUCGAG